UACGGAGGGUGCAAGCGUUAUCCGGAUUUACUGGGCUUAAAGGGCGCGUAGGCGGGUCUGUAAGUCCGGGGUGAAAUCUCCGAGCUUAACUUGGAAACUGCCAUGGAUACUAUAGGUCUUGAAUACUGUGGAGGUCAGCGGAAUAUGUCAUGUAGCGGUGAAAUGCUUAGAUAUGACAUAGAACACCAAUUGCGAAGGCAGCUGGCUACACAAAUAUUGACACUGAUGCACGAAAGCGUGGGGAUCAAACAGG
rnacentral:rRNA from 1 species